GUUUUUAACAAGGAAUACAGCAUCAUAUUUCCUUAAGAAGAAUAAAGAUUGUAUAUCUUUUAGGUGAAAAUUCUAACAAGGAGCAAACAGCAAAGAACUGAAAUGCUAUACAGACUCCAGUGAGAAAAAACUGAGGUAAUUGGUUUCGGUGUGCCGGUGCUUGAAACUCUAUCCCAGUGCUUCCUUCAACUAAGGCUGCAAAUUGAAAAUGUGAACAACCUUGCCUGCUUGAACCAGCCUGGGCUUGUGGCAGCAUCAUUCUGUCACUUAACUCUUCUCACAGAGGGAAAGAAGGCUACUGUCCAGUUUCUUCAAUGUCAGUUCCUUGUUUGCAUACAUUCUGAAGGUGCUAUGUGCUUCAAAAAUUCUUUGCCAGACUGGGAAAAUUGUGCUUUGGAAAUCAUUAAAUUUCAUCCUUUUAAAAAUACAGGUGUGAUUUUUCACUGGACGGAAA
rnacentral:lncRNA from 1 species